GGAAAUAGCGACCGCACACCUGCACCCUUGGCGCCAAGGCGCCUUCGGGGCUAACGAUCGGCAUUGGGUGAGUCCGCUCGGGUAACCUACCCCUAUAUGGGGGAUAGGCCCGGGAACCGGGGGUAAUACCGCAUGCGUCCCACACGACGUCGGUCGACUGGGGCAAAGGUGGGGAUCCUUCGGGACCUGCCGCUUCUGGAUGGGCCCGCGUCCGAUUAUCUAGUUGGUGAGGUAACGGCUCACCAAGGCCACGAUCGGUAGCCGGCCUGAGAGGGUGAUCGGCCACAUUGGGACUGAGACACGGCCCAGACUCCUACGGGAGGCAGCAGUGGGGAAUUUUGGGCAAUGGGCGCAAGCCUGACCCAGCGACGCCGCGUGGGGGAUGAAGGCCCUCGGGUUGUAAACCCCUGUCAGGUGGGAAGAAAGCUCGACAGGUUAAGAGCUAGUCGAGUCUGACGGUACCACCAGAGGAAGCCCCGGCUAACUCCGUGCCAGCAGCCGCGGUAAUACGGAGGGGGCAAGCGUUAUUCGGAUUUACUGGGCGUAAAGCGCACGUAGGCGGCGAGGUAAGUCAUGGGUGAAAGCCCUCGGCUCAACCGAGGAACAGCCUUUGAAACUGCUUCGCUUGAGUCCGGGAGGGGGGAGCGGAAUUCCCAGUGUAGCGGUGACAUGCGUAGAUACUGGGAGGAACACCGGUGGCGAAGGCGGCUCCCUGGACCGGUACUGACGCUGAGGUGCGAAAGCGUGGGUAGCACACACGAUUAUAUACCCUGGUAGUCCACGUCGUAAACGAUGGGCACUAGGUGCAGCGGGUGUCGAC
rnacentral:rRNA from 1 species